GACGAACGCUGGCGGCGUGGAUUAGGCAUGCAAGUCGAACGGUAUCAUCCUUCGGGGGUGAGAGAGUGGCGAACUGGUGAGUAACACGUGGUUAUCUACCCUCAAGACGGGGACAACCCAGGGAAACUUGGGCUAAUACCGGAUGUGAGCAACUUUUAGUGUUUGAAAGGUGGCGUAAGCUGUCGCUUGGGGAUGAGCCUGCGUCCUAUUAGUUAGUUGGUGAGGUAACGGCUCACCUAGGCAAUGAUAGGUAGGCGGCCUUAACGGGUGGUCGCCCACACUGGGAUUGAGAUACGGCCCAGACUCCUACGGGAGGCAGCAGUCGAGAAUAGUCUACAAUGGUCGGAAGACUGAUAGUGCGACGCCGCGUGAACGAUGAAUCCCUUCGGGGUGUAAAGUUCUUUUAUAUGUGAGCAGUGCUUCUUAUAUUAACAGUAUGGGGAGAGAGAUAUUAGCAUAUGAAUAAGCAACGGCUAACUCCGUG
rnacentral:rRNA from 1 species